AACGAACGCUGGCGGCAUGCCUAACACAUGCAAGUCGAACGAGACCUUCGGGUCUAGUGGCGCAGGGGUGCGUAACGCGUGGGAACCUGCCCUUAGGUUCGGAAUAACUCCCCGAAAGGGGUGCUAAUACCGGUUAAUGUCUUCGGACCAAAGAUUUAUCGCUUUUGGAUGGGCCCGCGUUGGUUUAGCGAGUUGGUAGGGUAAAAGCCUACCAAGGCGACGAUGCAUAGCUGGUCUGAGAGGAUGAUCAGCCACACUGGGACUGAGACACGGCCCAGACUCCUACGGGAGACAGCAGUAGGGAAUAUUGGACGAUGGGCGAAAGCCUAAUCCAGCAAUGCCGCGUGAGUGAUGAAGGCCUUAGGGUUGUAAAGCUCUUUUACCCGGGAUGAUAAUGACAGUACCGGGAGAAUAAGCACCGGCUAACUCCGUG
rnacentral:rRNA from 1 species